CUCUUUCUUUAUGGAUGGCAAACAGCGUUCAGAUGACAGAUUUUGGAAAAUUGUCUUAGGAGACGCAUUCUCAGGCAGUUCCAGUGUAUUGGUAUUUUGGAUGUUUCUCUGCAUUUUGUCAUACGGUUCAGAAGGGUGAUAGGCUUUCUGUGAACUGCUGGGCUUCAAGAAGGCUAUUAUCUUCCACUCAGGUUUAAUGGAGGAAUUUAUGGGAUUUUGCCACCUUGUGAGGUUCAGUGCUAGAAUUUCUGCGUUGGAUGGAUCAAGAAUCUACGGGGAGCCAAGUCACUUAAAAGUAUCAGUUAUUCCCAAUAUUCCCUUCAUCUAAUGAAGUUCCUCCAAAUUUCAUGAUCCUUGUGACAAUCCACCCCAGACUAUGGUGAGAGACCCAGAGCUGCAGCAGUUUUGGUUGUGGUUAUUCUGACAUUGACCCGAAGGGAGCAAGAAUGUUUCUCAGGAGCCCUUGCCUGGACUCCCCUUCCAGACCACAACUUCCCCGGUGAUAUGGGACCCUGGAGGAGGAAGUCUACAAUGUGGGAGAGAUGAGUUACCAGGAAGAUAACCUUUGCACUCAGAAGGCUUGCGAACCCCAGAGGAGACUGUCUGUCUGAGAGAUCACCUUACCCACACUGUGGAAUAAAAAUAUUGCCUCUGACAUUAGGGAACUGGCAUUCCCCUCCUCCACUGUUUGAAAAGCACAGACUUUAAACAGAUCUUCAUGGUCACCUCACCCCUGAUGGUGAGCAUCCACAGGAAAAAGAUUGGUCCCAGGUAAGAC
rnacentral:lncRNA from 1 species